rnacentral:rRNA from 1 species
UACGGAGGGGGGCUAGCGUUGUUCGGAAUUACUGGGCGUAAAGCGCACGUAGGCGGCUUUUGUAAGUUAGAGGUGAAAGCCCCAGGGCUUAACCCUGGAAUUGCCUUUAAGACUGCAUCGCUAGAAUCGUGGAGAGGUGAGUGGAAUUCCGAGUGUAGAGGUGAAAUUCGUAGAUAUUCGGAAGAACACCAGUGGCGAAGGCGACUCACUGGACACGUAUUGACGCUGAGGUGCGAAAGCGUGGGGAGCAAACAGG